GUGAGGAAUCUUGCGCAAUGGGCGAAAGCCUGACGCAGCGACGCCGCGUGGAGGACGAAGGUCUUCGGAUCGUAAACUCCUGUCAAGUGGGACGAAAUCCGCCGGGAUGAAUAAGCCCGGUGGUUGACGGUACCGCUGAAGGAAGCCCCGGCUAACUCCGUGCCAGCAGCCGCGGUAAUACGGAGGGGGCCAGCGUUGUUCGGAAUUAUUGGGCGUAAAGGGCGCGUAGGCGGCGUGGUCAGUCGGAGGUGAAAUCCCUCGGCUCAACCGAGGAACUGCCCCCGAUACUGCCAUGCUUGAGUCCCGGAGAGGGCAGCGGAAUUCCCAGUGUAGCGGUGAAAUGCGUAGAUAUUGGGAGGAACACCAGUGGCGAAGGCGGCUGCCUGGACGGGUACUGACGCUGAGGCGCGAAAGCGUGGGUAGCAAACAGGAUUAGAUACCCGAGUAGUCC
rnacentral:rRNA from 1 species